CUGGCGGUCGUGGCGGUCGGAGAUCCGAGAGCUCUGCUUCUCUGAAAAGCGUGUGGCUUUCUGGACUUGGCCACCCACGAGCCAGCGGGAAAGGAUUGCCAGCCGGAGAAAGACGAACUCCGAAGUCCCAAUGCACAGAUCAGCCCCCAGUCAAACCACCAAGAGGAGCCGAUCGCCAUUUUCCACUACUCGUCGUAGUUGGGACGACAGCGAGAGUUCGGGAACCAACCUGAAUAUUGAUAAUGAGGACUAUUCCAGGUAUCCGCCAAGAGAGUACAGAGCUUCGGGUAGCAGAAGAGGAAUGGCCUAUGGACAUAUUGACUCUUAUGGGGCAGAUGAUAGUGAGGAGGAGGGGGCUGGGCCUGUUGAGCGACCGCCAGUGA
rnacentral:lncRNA from 1 species